rnacentral:lncRNA from 1 species
AGGUUUUGGGCAUCUAUAAAUAGAAGACUCCUCUUCUCAUACCAUAACAUAAUAGCAUGCACAAUGUAAUCUUUAAAGAGUUUUUGCUUAGGGGGAGAUUUUCUCUCUCAUUAGUUUUAUGCUUUUUAAUAUUAGGUUUUAUAUGUAGGCCAAUUGGCCAAAUCACAUAAUAAUACUAUGUUUUUCUUCGUCAUCUGAGUUAUUGUCUUUAUGAUUUGCAACUAAUAGCUUCCGCAUGACGCCUUCUCGAUUUCGAACCCAACAAGUGGUAUCAGAACCUAUGGUUCAAAGAUCCAGUGAUUUGGUAAAGCGAGGUUGAAGACAAGUCCAAGGCAGUUCUAAUCAAUUUGCAAUUAAUUAGAUGAUAAUGAAGAUUUAGUCCAACUACAUAUGGAGAAGAUAUUUAAAUCAUAUUCUCAGCAAUCCUGCUAUCACAUAUUUGAAAAUAAAGUUUACUUUUAACCCUACAAAGGGCUCCAAUAUUUUUUAACCCGAAAAGGGCUCAUAUAUUUUUAACCCCAAAAGCUCCAUUUUUAAACAUGUCAAGCAGCAGUGAUGAAGACUAUAUGAAGAACAAAGAUCAAAUAUGUGAAGAAGGCAAAUCAAUCGAAGAAAAUCAAGCCAAAAAGGAAAGAUUUGUUAGGGUUUUUGCCCUAAUUUUCUUACCAAAAUUAAGUUUUACUUUUUCUUGUAAGGAAAUAAAAGUAACCAUAAAUAUUUUUACUUUUCCUGAAAGAAAAAUAUAAAACUUUUUCAUAUUUGGCUAACCUCUUUCUUGCAGGAAAGGUUUUGGGCAUCUAUAAAUAGAAGACCCCCCUUCUCAUACCAUAACAUAAUAGCAUCCACAAUGUAGUCUUUAAAGAGUUUUUGCUUAGGAGGAGAUUUUCUCUCUCAUUAGUUUUAUGCUUUUUAAUAUUAGGUUUUAUAUGUAGGCCAAUUGGUCAAAUCACAUAAUAAUACUAUGUUUUUAGUA